UCAAAAAACCAAACCAAACCAAAACCAAACCAAACCAAAACAAAACAAAACAAAACAAAACAAAACAAAACAAAAAACAAACAAACAAACAAGAAAAAAAACAAACCAAUAAAGUAGGAAGACUUGACGAGGAACUAAAUCAAACAAGUGACUUUUGUUUUUAUUUCUGUGGUAUUAGGGAUCAAGUCUAGACCUACAUGCUGGGCAAGUGACCUGUCGCUGAUGUCCACAUGAAAUCCCUUCAGCAAGCAAACUAAAUUUCCACUCAUAUGGGAUCCUGUGUGCUCUGUACCUCCUGAUAUCACCCGUUAGGGAGGGCACCAUGCUCCUCCUGGGCCAUUCCUGCCCUAAAUGGGAAGCUUGACUCUGAUCCAGUGGAAAUACCAGAACCAAGGAGGUCUCAUAUUUCUGAGGAUGAAGAUGAGAAGGAUGGUGAUGUGGCCUGGACUUUGACCAUUGGAACUCCAAGGCUUCUUAACAGAAGGCUUUGCCCAAGUCUUCCUGAACUCACCCAUCUCCAUUUCUUCUCUACCUCUUUUGUUCUAGGCACUUAAGCAUAUUGCUUUAUUUCACAUACCCAUGAUUCCCUAAGUGUAUUUAUUAAUAUUCCCACUUUACAGAAUAGGCUAGCAGAGGCACAGACAGAUUGACUUACCCAACCUCUGUGGCAGACUGAGACUCAGAGGGGCACGUCAGAUCUGAGGGCAGGGGGCUUAACUAUCAUCUUAUAGUCUUCAGCCUUGUUCCUCGGAUUACCAAGUACAUCCAGAUUUGCCUGGAGAAUACACUAAAACACAGUUUCUGACUUCAUAGGCCUGUAACAGGGUCUGAAGAUGCUCUUUUUUGAUUUUGAGACAGUGUCUCAUAUAUCCUGAGCUGACUUCCAGCUCAGUAAGUAGUAGGGAUGACCUUGAAACUCUCAUUUUCCUGACUUCAUCUCCCAAGUUCUGGGAGUACAGAUAUGAGCCAGCACACUCUGCUUUAAAUGUGGGGCUAGGUUGGGACCUAAGGUUGAAGGCUUGUUAAGCAGGCCCUCUUAUCAAUGGAGUUACAUCCUCAGCCCUAAACAUGCAUUCCAAGAAGCUCUCUGGUGAUGUCAGCACUGCAAGAGCUCAGUCUACACUUUAACUCGCAAGCUUGAGCUCACUGGCUAUUUGGGGCUUAGCCACCUAUGAGCUUCUACCUCAUUUUAGCUUGGAAUUUUUUUUUCAAUCAAAAGAUGAAAGGUAUAUCUACAAAACCACUCCCCAACCCAAGGCUCAGGGGACAUCAUGGAAGAGGGGGUGUAAAUAUUGUAAGAGGGAGUUGGCUGUGUGAUUGUGUCUCCUGAUAAAGUCAGAA